rnacentral:rRNA from 1 species
UACGUGGGUGGCGAGCGUUGUCCGGAUUUACUGGGCGUAAAGAGCGCGCAGGCGGUCGUUCAAGUCGCGUGUGAAAGCCCCCCGGCUCAACUGGGGAGGGUCACGCGAUACUGAUCGACUCGAAGGCAGGAGAGGGAAGUGGAAUUCCCGGUGUAGUGGUGAAAUGCGUAGAUAUCGGGAAGAACACCCGUGGCGAAGGCGGCUCUCUGGGACGGUACUGACGCUGAGACGCGAAAGCGUGGGGAGCGAACAGG